GACUGGCCUAGAACUUGCUUUGUAGUCUGUGCUCUCCCUGGACUUACAGGAGCCUCCUGCCCCAGCCUCCCAACUCCUGGGAUAACAGGAAUCAAACCCAGGACCUUGCACUUGCCAGGCAAGUGCUUGUGCCACUGAGCUAUAUCCCUGGCCUGGAACAGCCUUCUAAAGAUGCCUAGCUUCAUCUCAUCUUGUCAUAGUCACAGAAUAACUUUGCCAGUGUUUGAUAUUCAGUGAGAUUGUUUAAGUCUAGGAGUAAAGUAAUCCAGCCUUGUCAUAAAUUCUAGAACAGGUCCUGGAGAUCAGGAGCUCCCCACUACCCUGUGGGGAAAUAAAUAAGUGACCAUGAAAACAAAUAGAAGAAAUCCAUAUUCAUUGAAGAUAUUAAGGGACUGUUAAUGCUUUUUCCAGAAUUUCAUCCAAAGGAAUCCGGAGAAUAGAGGCUAAAGACCUAUUAGGGAUAUGGACUUGGUGAUGUUUGAGUCCUUACUCAUCUAGCUGUUGACCAUGAUAAUGUAUCCAUGCUCAAUGAUCAAGUGUUUGGCCAAAACCUAGCUCUAACCAACAUCUAUUUAUAGCUAACAGUCUCAGAUGUCCCAAAUGAAUAGAGCAAAUACCAGUUGUGAGUAUAGAUGAUGACAGCUAUGACACUGGCAGCAGUUAAAAUGAUGGCUUUGAAAACAGUCAUAAAUAUAAUGGAAUAUGUCUUAUUUUUAAAAUAUUUUCACCCUACCUACAUUCACUGCUCUCUUGGCUUCCUAUUUUUAUUAGGAAAAACUAUAUUAGGAUGAUGUUUGUGUGCUGCAGAUGCUGUUCCGAGUGCCAUGGCAACCACUUGCUUUUACUCAAGCAUUUUAUGUCAAGAUUAUACAUUUAGAAAUUUUUAUACAAUGCUGAAAAUGCUGGGUGUGUUUCAGUAACAAUUUAAGUCAUGGGAGUCUUACUCAGAGACCCACAAAGUGAAACUUAAGUGAGAGAAGAAUGGGAGAUUAAUGGCUGACUAUGAGGAAAAUCUUUAUUUCUUUCCCCAAAAUAGGAGGCUGUGAGACCUCCUCUGGUUCACAGGUAGAGUAGCCAGUGCCACCACAUAAACACAGAGGCCCCUCUGCUUCCAGCCCUGCUACAAAAUACGCGAUCAAGAGCAUUGGGCUCAGUUUCCCCACCUGGACAAUGAAGAAGUUGGUCUAGCAGUCCCAUAGUUCCAUGCAGGUUUCUGCUUCUGUAGUUGGGACCUGCAUUUCAAGAGCCAUUAUCUGGAGAGAUGUCCCCUGGCACUUCCUCAUGGACACAGCAGUGUGGUUAGGAGUCCAUGCUUGGAGUUAAAUCUGGGUACAAACCCUAGCUCUUCCUGCUUACUGCCAUGUGUCUUUGGGAAGGUUCUUCAUUCAUGAAAUGAAUCUUAGAUAGUAACCACUUCAUAGGGUUGUCAGGAGGAUUGACAUGAAUUUAAUAUUAGAAACUAUCUCCUGUGUUAUGUUGGUAGCUUGAGACAGUACAUGUAAAACUUGCUUUGUAUUGUGCUUGACCCAUCAAAAGCAAUCAAUCAAUAUCAGCAAAAUUUGAAGGCAACCUUAAAGACUGGCCACACCACUUUCAUGGCAUGAGCAUGUGGUGAAGGACCUGUCACCCCAUGGAAAUCAGAACAGCAAAGAGAGAAAAGGACAGGAAGAUGGUGCUGUCCUAAUAUCCUCUUUGAAAGCACAGUGCCCAAUAACCUAAUUUACCUCCACUGGCCUCCACCCAUGACAUGAAUGUACCACACCAAGGCAAGAUAUUAAUAGUAGAUGGGAUUACAUAGUUUAUGAGAAAUCUAUUAUUUUUUUGUUCAACUUUUCUGUAAAGUUAAAACUGCUCAAGAAAAUAAAGUCUAUUUUUUUAAAAAUGCUAAGGUGAGAAGCCAAAGGCAUUAGGGAAAUUCUGUUCCUUAACGUCAUUCAGGGCUCCAACUUCUAUCCAAGUGAUUGCUCUGAUAUCCCCAGGGUAUUUUCUAUUUAAAGAUUUGCUAUCAGAUAUUAAUCUAUUUCUGAACACAAACUGUUGUGUUGUUUCACACUUCUGUAUUUUUCUUUGCAAGACUGGUCCAUCCUUUAGUUGAUGUUCUCCCCUGGGAUGGAGGUGCAUGUUUAUAAUCUUAGCACUCAGGAGGCUGAGGUAGGAGGAUCACAAGU